rnacentral:rRNA from 1 species
UACAGAGGUCUCAAGUGUUGUUCGGAUUCAUUGGGCGUAAAGGGUGCGUAGGUGGCGCUGUAAGUCGGGUGUGAAAUUUCGGAGCUUAACUCCGAAACUGCAUUCGAUACUGCGGUGCUUGAGGACUGGAGAGGAGACUGGAAUUCAUGGUGUAGCAGUGAAAUGCGUAGAGAUCAUGAGGAAGACCAGUGGCGAAGGCGGGUCUCUGGACAGUUCCUGACACUGAGGCACGAAGGCCAGGGGAGCAAACGGG